UUCAUACAAUACAUCCAAAAAUAUUAAGAUGAUUAUGGUUAAGAGAUAUCAUAAAUUAAUUGAUGUAUCAGUAUUUGAAAAAGGUAAGAUACUUGGAAUUUGUUAACAAAUAGUAGCAGGUAAAAAUUGUUUCAAUAGUUUCCUACUUCCAAUUAUUAUUUUCACCAUAAAAGGAGAUUGCAAAAUUCGCUUGAACAUGAGGAAUUUGAUGAGAGCAUAGAAUAUCCAAACUAGCAGAAUUAAAAUCCAUUUAUCUUUCCAAAAUCAAGUCUCUUUUCCUAAGUUUAUAUUCCAUGAAAUAUUGUUGGAAACAUUUGGCUAGAUGUUGACAAUAACACGUCACAUUUUUGAACAGUUGCAACUCAACUCUAUGUUAUGUAUAGAUUUAACUUCAUGAUGAUACUUAGCUCUCAUGACUAUAACCCAUAACUUCUCAGGAUUUGCCUCUAGUUUCCAAGCAAGCUUUGCAAUGUAAGCCUUAUUCAGAAUCCUCAGAUUUUGGAAACCUAAACCACAAGCUUUGGAAACUGCAUUUGUUGAAGCAAGUUGGGGUGUUAAAAGGAAAGGGUACUUUAAACCCUCAUCCAAGUUGAUCACAACUGAAAUCCAUUUAUUUGAGCUUUGAAUCAUUGCAUUUUACAAUGUGAAGGUUCUAAGUGUACAUUAGAUCACCCAAAAAAAUAUGAGAUGACGCAUCCUCUUUAUUAUCAAUGUUAUACUGUAUGAGAUGUUUGAUUUUUGUGCUAUGCAAGUAGGGCAUAGAGACUUCCCAAGGAAGAAAUCAAUUCAUAUAGUACAAUUUUGGUGUCAUAUUUUUGAAGAAAUCAUUUUGUGAAUGUGUUUCUUCUAAUCUAAUAGCAUGUCAAAUUUUAAAUUAUAAAGCUUUGGAAGCUGAUUUUGGAUUUGAAUCAUAUACUUUAAAGAAUGGGAGCCUUUUACAGGAAAUGACAACCUCAUUUCUUGGUACUCAACAAAAGCAGAGGUUCCAAUUUUUUGAAGAUUUAUCCUCUUAUCCUAGGAUUUCUCCUAAUUGUAAGCUUUUAUUGAGGUAAUGUGACUACUAGUUCCUAGAUGUAUGCUACUAAUAGAAUUUUUGGUUUUGAACAAUAUAGCCAUCAUUGAA